rfam:Camelus ferus unplaced genomic scaffold scaffold244, whole genome shotgun sequence.
UAGCUCAGUGGUAGAGCACAUGCUUAGCAUGCAUGAGGUCCUGGGUUCAAUCCCCAG